rnacentral:lncRNA from 1 species
UCUCUUUUUCUCUCCCUUUCUCUAUCUCUCUGAACUAGGUUUUUGAUUGGAGAAGCAAACGGGGUGGCGGCGGACGAGAAGGCGGCGGCGGAGUGGGCAGAUCUGAAUAUUUAGGCGGCGGCUGUGGUUGCGGUGAAUCUAUGGUGAAGGCGCCGAUGAAGUGGGUAGCGCUGGCGCGUCGGAUCUAUGGUGGAGGCGGUGGAUCUGAAGCGGCAAUGGAAUGCGUAGCGGAGGCGGCUUCGAGGGUGACGCUGGCCCAACGACGGCGCUCGAAGUUCGAGAAUGGUGUUGGUGGUGCGGUGAUGCACGGAUAUGUGAUGGCAGCGUGGGUGGGGUGGCCGGUGGUAACCUUAGAGGCGUGGAUGGG